rnacentral:rRNA from 1 species
AAAUGAAUAGACGGGGACCCGCACAAGCGGUGGAUGAUGUGGUUUAAUUCGAUGCAACGCGAAAAACCUUACCUACCCUUGACAUGCUAGGAAUCUCUCAGAGAUGGGAGAGUGCUCGAAAGAGAGCCUAGACACAGGUGCUGCAUGGCCGUCGUCAGCUCGUGUCGUGAGAUGUUGGGUUAAGUCCCGCAACGAGCGCAACCCUUGUCAUUAGUUGCUACGAAAGGGCACUCUAAUGAGACUGCCGGUGACAAACCGGAGGAAGGUGGGGAUGACGUCAGGUCCUCAUGGCCCUUAUGGGUAGGGCUACACACGUCAUACAAUGGCCGGUACAGAGGGUUGCCAACCCGCGAGGGGGAGCCAAUCCCAGAAAACCGGUCGUAGUCCGGAUCGCAGUCUGCAACUCGACUGCGUGAAGUCGGAAUCGCUAGUAAUCGCGGAUCAGCUUGCCGCGGUGAAUACGUUCCCGGGUCUUGUACACACCGCCCGU